UUCUUCUAUAACAUGCAUAUUUUGAUUUGUGGAUCAACAGAACCCUUACAAAGUUUCAGUUGCAUUCGUGUCAGAAUAUUCAAAUUUCCCGGCGAAAGCAACGUAUCAUUCGGAAACUUCCGGGUUGAUGCGUUUACCACAACGAUAAAUCCUUAUAAACAGACGAGUGCUGUCCCUUGAUUUAUUAUUACAUAUCGAGCGCAAAGUUAACGAAUAGAACCUUUCUUCAAACGGGG
rnacentral:lncRNA from 1 species